rnacentral:rRNA from 1 species
CUGGCCUUGACAUCCAAUGAACAUCCUAGAGAUGGAUUGGUGCUUCGGGGACAUAGAGACAGGUGCUGCAUGGCUGUCGUCAGCUCGUGUCGUGAGAUGUUGGGUUAAGUCCCGUAACGAGCGCAACCCUUGAUCUUAGUUACCAGCACAUCAUGGUGGGCACUCUAAGGAGACUGCCGGUGACAAACCGGAGGAAGGUGGGGAUGACGUCAAGUCAUCAUGCCCCUUACGGCCUGGGCUACACACGUGCUACAAUGGCGGGUACAGAGGGUUGCAAAGCCGCGAGGUGUAGCUAAUCCCUCAAAACCGAUCGUAGUCCGGAUCGCAGUCUGCAACUCGACUGCGUGAAGUCGGAAUCGCUAGUAAUCGCGGAUCAGAAUGYCGCGGUGAAUACGUUCCC